rnacentral:lncRNA from 1 species
UUGGGCCAUGGGGUAAGGAAGGGAAAGGAUACUUUUGUCCUAAAAAACUGGUGGAAAAUACUCUACAAGCUGUGGAUUUGGUGCAUCAUUUGUUGGAUUUAAAGACAUAAAGACGACUAACCGAGGUUUUUACCAAUUGUUGUUGAGUCACUGCUUGGUCAUGAUAUCACAAUGAUAGCCUGUGAAGGAUCACACGCAAUAGCACUUAACAGUAAGGGUCAAGUUUUUUCGUGGGGCACAAGUCCUCAAGCUUGUCUUGGUCAUGGUAACUUUAGAGACAGGUACUCUCCAUUAAUGAUUGAUAGACCACUGAGAGAUGUUAAUGUGGUUCAUGUGGCCUGCUAUGAGAAUCAUUGAGCAGUUAUAUCAGGAUAGUCCAGGUUGCUUGUGGCAGGUCAUAUACUAGUUAUUGAUGAAGAAGGAAGAGUCUAUUCUUUUGGUAUUAAUAAAUUUGAAGAGUUAAGGCCGAGGACACGAUGAAGCUAUAACCAAGCCCACAAUGGUGGCCAACCUGGUCUAGCUCCAUUUGUAAAGUAUCCUGUGGCCGAUAUCAUUCUGCUUCUAUGGAUGAGGAUGCCGUAUUGUUUAUGUGGGGCUGGGGAGCAAGAAGCCAGCUGGGACAAGAUGAACAAAAGUCACUGUUGAGUCCUACUCCUGUUAAUGGAUUUAAUGAGCAACCUCUGGAGGAUGUGAGUUGUAGUUAUGGUCACACUGCAGCUAUUACUGCCAACGAUGUUGCUUACUGUUGGGAUGACAAUGCUAGAGGUCAGUGAGGAGUACCCUCUAGUGUUUAUAGUGAACUCUCCAGUCCUCGUGGUAUUGUUCUUCCCUCUGGGAUAAGACCCACUCAGAUCAACUGUGGAGCUAAUUUCACUGUACUCAUUACUUCAAUAGGACAGCUCUUCAUGUGAGGCUAUAUCAUGAGUGGACAGUUGGAGGAUGGAGAGGCCAAGAAAACCUUGCCAGUCAAGUGAUGGGAUUGUAUCUUCAAAUUUUCCAUGAUAUAUUCCAAGUUUCAAUGGACAGUAUUCAUUAGUCAAUGAGACAAUCAUGUCACAAAGAUUAUACUUAGCAUCCACAAAAGUUUCAAUGGGCAGUACACACCAGACUCACCAGUAGCAGUCAGAGAAGAUAUAAUAUCACAAAGAUUAUACUUGGCGUCUUCAAUAGCA